ACCCGCAAACACCGAAAAGUAGCCUUUUUUCGUAGAAAAUGAACGAAUUUGAGGUGUUUUAGGAUUGCGAGAGCAUGAAAUGCGAAGCAAUCCGUGUAUCA
rnacentral:sRNA from 1 species